rnacentral:lncRNA from 1 species
GUGGCUCUGCGCUCCACACACUUCAUCCUCACUGACUCCCUGUGAAGCGGCUAUUACUUAGGAUUCUCCCUACUGCCCAGAGGACUAGCUGAAGACCCGAGAGGCCUCCAAGUCACUUCCCACAGAAGCUUCUGGUCCCUCCUGGCACAGCACCUCUUCAGAGAGGCCUUCCCUAACCAGCCCAUGAGGAUUUUCCUCCUGGUUAUUCUCCAGCAUGGACCCUGCUCAUCACCUCUAUGGAGCCAUCCCAAUCAGUCUGUGAUCAUGCAUUUACUUAACCUACCUGUUAGUGGUUGCUCCCUCCACAACUGGAAACACCUCAAGAACAGAAGUGAAGUCUGGCUUUUGCUCACUCUCACAUCUCAGCUCCUAGCACUGUGCCUGGCAUACAGCAGGUGCUCAAUAAAUAGCUGAAUGCAUGAAUGGGUCUUCAUUGAAUGGGCUUCACGAAUUGAUUUUAGAAAUCAGAAUACAAGUUAGAUACAUGUAGCACAUGCUAUGGCUGCAACUAUGUGAAUGUUAGGUGCCCACAUGAACAGGCUGCAAGGAAACUGGACACUGAACACACCUGGUUGCCAGGUGUCUCUUUGGGGUGUAUGGAUAAUGGACAGAUUUCUCCCCUAUUGUGGUUGCUCAUGAUAUUUGGAAACAGGCAAGAAUCCUUUAAGGAGGCUCUGAGGUCAAUCCCAAGGAAUCUGUGGUUUCUCCUCAAAGCCUGCUUGUCCCUGUUCAGGAGGCACACUGGAGUGAGUGAGUCUCACAGCCUAGACGGGAUACAGCUCCCUUCCUCUGGCCAAAGCAGCCAGAGCUAUAUCUUUCUUACCCCUCAAAACAGUGCCAUCAUCCGAGCAAUGACCUGAAUGUCUCAGGACACUGUUCUCAGAGUGUUGCUUAAGCAGAAAAUGCCAGCCCCAUGGAGCCCAGCAGGAUGAGUUUCAGCUUGCGUAUUCAGCAGCUGCAGCAGGGAAGCAGCCAACUCCCACUCACUGGGCACCUACUAAGUGCCAAGCAUGGUGCUGUGAGCUUUACAUGUGAUCUCAUUUGAGCUCCUUGGAAAGUCUUUUAGAACCCUGUUUUGGUUUUGUUUUUAUUUUUUUGAAAGAGGGUCUCACUCUGUCCCCCAGGCUGGAGUGCAGUGGCAUGAUCAGGGUUCACUGCAGCCUCAACUUCCCGGGUUCAAGAGAUCCUCCCACCUCAGCCCCUCAAGUAUCUGGGACUACAGGUAUCUGCCACCACAACCGGCUAUUUUUUUGGAUUUUAGUAGAGACAAGGUCUCACUACGUUGCUCAGGCUGGUCUUGAACUCCUGAGCUCAAGUGAUCUUCCCACUUCAGACUCCCAAAGUGCUGAGAUUACAGGUGUGAGUCACCACAUCCAGCCCUAGAACCAUUUCAAAGGUAAGGCUACUGAGCCUCACAGGCAUGAAGACUCUGGGGAAGAUUACAAAGAUGAUUACUCCAAUGAUGCCAGUGGCUGCAAAAUCAAAUGUCAACAAGACCCGGGCGGCAGCACAUGGGUGAGCACAGGCCCUGUCUACAGGCCCCUGCACCCUGGCCUCCAUUCCAAAGCAGCAGCUGGGGCUGGGGAGGCACUCGGUUUGCAAAUGGUGGCAAUCAAUUCCAUUAAAAGGAACAAUACAAAGUCCUUCUCUGUUAGAGAGAGGUAUUUCUAGAUGUAAUAAUAUGAUGUCUUCCAUUUGCUUUAAUACACUGUGUGGGUGGGUGGCGUAUUUUAAAUAGACAGAUGAAAGGGCAGAUAAAAUAAAACUUAGCUAAAUGGUAAAAACUGUUGAAGCUGAGGGCUGGGUAUAUGGAGAUUCAUGAUGCUAUUUUCUCUAGAAAUCCACUGUUUUA